GGAAGAGUUUGUGUGUGUGUGUAGCGGUGUGAGGGAUGCCUCGGCGUAGUGGGGCCCGUGACAACGGGGCUGAGGUGAGCCAGCGAACCCCCCAAGGGAGGAGAAAAUACCCCCAAGUUGAGGAGCCUUCCACACCCACCAGAGAGGCCACAGGAUCUAUGAUGCCACAGGAUCGGUUGCCUAUGAUUGGCUCCUCUGGGAGUAAGCCAGCAGCCAAGCCGACUAUGACAACCCACCAGCGCCCCUCUCAGGCCGCACGGAGGAAGCGCACCCAGACGGGCCAGACCUCCGCCAACCUUCCCCCGGACAGCAUGACCCCGUGGGGCGGACUGUCCCUGUCCGAAUCCUCCUUCACCAGAAUCCCUCCGCCCCCGCCCGCCCCUCUCCCCACACCUCUGCCCCCCCAACUCCCCCGACACCUGUCGGGGGGUGUCGGUGUCCGGAGCCCUGCCCCCUCGCCCCCAGUCACAGCUCCCACGGAGGGGAGCAGGGCCGUGAGGGUGAGGCGCAGGGUGCCCCCCAGCACAGGCUCCCCGUGCCCCCGCUUGCCCCCACUCAGACCCGUCACCAACCUCAGCUUCUCUCGCAGCUUCACCUUCUCCUUCUUUGAGCUGCCACUGCACCAGUCCCCCCACAGCCGCGCUGAACGCGUCCGAGACCUCAUGCUGCUGCUGAGACAGAUCCAGUACUGACUAACCGCACUACACCGUGACCCAGAGCAGCGACUCAGUACUGACCACAGCAUGGCUAUUAACUAGGACAAUACUUGACCACUCACCAGGACAAUGGUCCAGCUCUGGUUGCAUCACAAUUACAUCAAGUCCAAGCACUGGCACCGGUGGUCAGGCACGAUCCUUCUGAAAAUGCGGGACUACUGUCCAGUACUGACCAACUUGAUGGCACACCAAGGACCACAACAGGACCAAGGUUAUCUGCAGAUAUUCUGAACCCUUUCUGAUUAACUCAGUCCAGGGAUACUGCUUUUAAAGCACAUUUAUUCUCAGCGUUUGUAUGUUAGUGUGCCCAGUGAUUGGAGUACUAAACAUUUGUGUGUGUGUGUGUGACGUGUUAAGAAUUUGUUUGUUCUUAUUGGCUGUCUGGAUCUGGGGGUGAGGCUUUGAGACAGUGUAGCACGGGUUAAAUUAGGUAAUUUAUCAGAUUAAAACGUAUCAACAAAAAAAUAACAGAUUUUUUAAAAAACAUACCAAGUUAAAACUCAGAAUAAUUGGAUGCUAGAGUUUUAUGUAGCCUGAUAUGCUAAUCAAAGUCUGUCUAAGUUCAUGUUUCUUGUAGUAGUUAUAAUGUGGCAAAUGUUCCCAUUGUCGGUUGGUAAUCAUUCUCUCCCAAGACAUGGUAAUUUAAACAUCUGUAUUUCUCUCUCAAAAUCAUAAGAUUAUAGCAUUUAAUUUAGUCGUCUUUACACUUUAUACGAUGUAAAGAAAGUUCAUGUUUGAUCUAAUGUGUCAAUGUUUAUAAUGUAAGGCUGGCAAGAAUUCUCUCCUGAGACUUUUCAACGUCUCCAUUUGUGUCAGAAUUAUUUGGGCGCAUUUGUUUCUAGUCAUUAUGUCACUUUAUAUUCUACAAUGUGAUGUGGCAAAUGGCUAUAAUGCACAGCUCGUUUGAGAGCCUAAGAUGCUUUAUCCCAAGACCUUUAUGCAUAUCAGUACAGCAGAAGAAUCAACCCAC
ensembl:lncRNA